rnacentral:rRNA from 1 species
UACGUAGGGUGCGAGCGUUGUCCGGAAUUAUUGGGCGUAAAGAGCUCGUAGGCGGUCUGUCGCGUCUGCUGUGAAAACCCGAGGCUCAACCUCGGGCUUGCAGUGGGUACGGGCAGACUAGAGUGCGGUAGGGGAGAACGGAAUUCCUGGUGUAGCGGUGGAAUGCGCAGAUAUCAGGAGGAACACCGAUGGCGAAGGCAGUUCUCUGGGCCGUAACUGACGCUGAGGAGCGAAAGCGUGGGGAGCAAACAGG